CCUACGGGAGGCAGCAGUGGGGAAUAUUGAACAAUGGGGGGAACCCUGAUCCAGCCAUGCCGCGUGUGUGAAGAAGGCCCUCGGGUUGUAAAGCACUUUCAGUGAGGAAGAACGCCUGGUGGUUAAUACCCAUCAGGAAAGACAUCACUCACAGAAGAAGCACCGGCUAACUCCGUGCCAGCAGCCGCGGUAAUACGGAGGGUGCGAGCGUUAAUCGGAAUUACUGGGCGUAAAGCGCGCGUAGGUGGCUUGAUAAGCCGGUUGUGAAAGCCCCGGGCUCAACCUGGGAACGGCAUCCGGAACUGUCAAGCUAGAGUGCAGGAGAGGAAGGUAGAAUUCCCGGUGUAGCGGUGAAAUGCGUAGAGAUCGGGAGGAAUACCAGUGGCGAAGGCGGCCUUCUGGACUGACACUGACACUGAGGUGCGAAAGCGUGGGUAGCAAACAGGAUUAGAUACCCGAGUAGUC
rnacentral:rRNA from 1 species